AAUCCAUGCUUCGGACAUUUUCGAAUUAAAUCUUUAAAUCGUUCCCAAGCUUCAUAUAAUGUUUAAUCCUCCAAUUGCUAAAAAGAUGUGAUGCCAUUUCUAAGCUU
rfam:Gossypium raimondii chromosome 11, whole genome shotgun sequence.